ACAGAGAUUGCUUUACCAAACCGUUGUGAGGUACGGUUCGCCCAUUGACAUAUCUCGUCCUCAGGUAUGCCUAAAUUCAUCAAAUCAGGGCUAUACGGUACUCUCGUCAUUGGAUCAAUGGUCACAUGCUCAAGCUCAUCACCCAUUUCAAGAAUGGCAAACAGCAGCUCGACCUGAGCCCGGUAGCACCUGAACCCACUCAUGUAGACCAUCUUGAGGUGAUGAUGGGGCAUAUGUCCAAAGAAGCAUAAGCAAAAACAAGAAAGGCAGGAGAGCACUCACAUGCAAUUCUAGAGUCUCCAGCUGCGGUGCAAAAGCUAAAUACUGAGCCAGCUGAAGAACUCCACUGUGGCUGUUUGGAUCUUUAGUAAAAAUAAGUAUCUCAUAAGUCAGAUGCUUCAAAUUCAUAAACAUGAUUGUUGGUCUUGCUGUCAACGUAUGCACCUGAAACAUUACCAGAACAAAUCAGGAAGCGCAUCUCCAUUUGAACAGCUAAGUGAGCAAAGAUAAUUAUUAGGAUGUACCUGUGAGGACCAGACCGAUUGCUUUCCAUGUCUGGUGAAAAUUCAGGGUUGCCUUCUGUAAUUUUGAGCAACCAUGAAGCAUUAUAGGAAUCAUAGUACCUUUGUAUUCAAAAUGAGAAAGACCAGGAACAUGAAACUCCAGCAUCUGGAUACGCAUAUUACAAAUUAGCAAAUGCCUAAGUUUAUUGAGUUGGUGUGGAAUAUUCAGAGCAGUCACACCCAAGCACGCAAAGACCUCCAAGUCCUCAAGACUGGAGCAAUUAAAUAGCAAGCCUGAAAGAUCUCCAAUUAUUUGAACACAGUGCAAAUGAAGGCUCCUGAGUUUCGUAAAGCCAAUAUCCGAGUGUGGCUUUAUAGAAACAUUGUUGAGAAACAAGCACUGGAUAAAAGGGAUAUCUUGAUCACCGAAAGCCUCAAGAGGGAAGUCAUACAAAUGUUUGGUUGGUCCUUUAUUAUUUCUAUUUGUGCACAGGUUCAUAUCUAUAAUCUUAGCCUUUGAUGCAGUGGCAAAGCGAAUCCACCUAUCAAGAAUGUCUGAGUCGUCCUUCAGAAGGUUGCACCUGAUACUGAAUUUAUUGAGCCCUAUUCCACUGUGUUGCUGAAUAAUAGAAUUUACUGUAUCAAUGAACUUCAUUCUUUCUAUUUUCACACUAUCCAUAUCAGCAGGCCCGUCCUUGCUGCCAUCAAAGCAUAGAUUAGGAUACCGUGUCCAAAGUUUUCUCCAGUUUCUCGACACGAUGCUUGUACUAGCAGCCUCUUUCAGUGACAGCAGAGAUAAUAGAAGAGAUUGAAUUUCC
rnacentral:sRNA from 1 species